UUUUAAAUGAGUGCUAAGAGAAUGGUUUAACAAUUAAUAACUUUCUUUAUUUUAAAAAUUAAAUUUAAUUUUUUUUGUGAGGAAGCAAAAAUAUAAAUUAGGGACAAGAAGACCCUAUGAAUUUUUUAAUUAAUAUUUAUGUUAAUUGUUAAUUUAAUAUUAAUUUUGUUGGGGCGACAGAAAAAGAAUAAUUAUCUUUUACUAAUAAGUUAAUUUGGAUCCAUUAUUUAGUGAUUUAAUGAGAAAAAUACUCUAGGGAUAACAGCGUAAUAAUUUUGGAUAGUUCUUAUAGAUAAAAUAGUUUGCGACCUCGAUGUUGGAUUAGGAUUCUUUUUUAAUGAAGAAGUUAAAAAAAGAAGUUUGUUCAACUUUUAAAUUCCUACUUGAUCUGAGUUCAGACCG
rnacentral:rRNA from 1 species